GCAUCUGUAGUGUAGGGGUUAUCAUCCCAGCCUUCCAUUCCUCAGUGAACGAUAGCUGGGGACUCGAGUUCGAGUCUCGACAGAUGCA
rnacentral:tRNA from 1 species